AUCGAACGCUGGCGGCAGGCCUAACACAUGCAAGUCGAACGAGUGGCGGACGGGUGAGUAAUGUCUGGGAAACUGCCUGAUGGUGGGGGAUAACUACUGGAAACGGUAGCUAAUACCGCAUACGAUGGGAUGGGCCCAGAUGGGAUUAGCUGGUAGGUGGGGGAAAGGCUAACCUAGGCGACGAUCCCUAGCUGGUCUGAGAGGAUGACCGGCCACCUGGGAACGUGGACAGGGUCAAUGCGCCUACGGGAGGCAGCAGAGGGGAAUAUGGCACAAUGGGCGCGAGCCUGAUGCAGCCAUGCCGCGUGUAUGAAGAAGGCCUUGGGGUUGUAAAGUACUUUCAGCGGGUGUGCGGUACCCGCAGAAGAAGCACCGGCUAACUCCGUGCCAGCAGCCGCGGUAAUUC
rnacentral:rRNA from 1 species